GACGAACGCUGGCGGCGUGCCUAACACAUGCAAGUCUUGGGAGAAAGAGGUAGCAAUAUCUUGAGUAAACCGGCGCAAGGGUGAGUAACACGUAGGUAAUCUGCCCAGAGGACGGGAAUAACUUCGAGAAAUCGAGGCUAAUGCCCGAUGAUUUUACGGUACAGCAUUGUGCUGUAAUUAAAUGCCGCAAGGCGCCUUUGGAUGAACCUGCGUCCCAUUAGGUAGUUGGUGAGGUAACGGCCCACCAAGCCGACGAUGGGUAGCUGGUCUGAGAGGACGAUCAGCCACACUGGAACUGAGACACGGUCCAGACUCCUACGGGAGGCAG
rnacentral:rRNA from 1 species